UACGUAGGGUGCGAGCGUUAAUCGGAAUUACUGGGCGUAAAGCGUGCGCAGGCGGUUUUGUAAGUCAGAUGUGAAAUCCCCGGGCUUAACCUGGGAACUGCGUCUGAUACUGGAUGGCUUGAGUUCGGGAGAGGGAAGUGGAAUUCCAGGUGUAGCGGUGAAAUGCGUAGAUAUCUGGAGGAACACCGGUGGCGAAGGCGGCUUCCUGGACCGACACUGACGCUGAGGCGCGAAAGCCAGGGGAGCAAACGGG
rnacentral:rRNA from 1 species